rnacentral:rRNA from 1 species
CAAAUGAAUUGACGGGGCCGCACAAGCGGUGGAGCAUGUGGUUAAUUCGACGCAACGCGAAGAACCUUACCAGGGCUUGACAUCCCCUGACCGCGUAUGAAAGUACGUUUUCACCCUCGGGUGACAGGGAGACAGGUGGUGCAUGGUUGUCGUCAGCUCGUGUCGUGAGAUGUUGGGUUAAGUCCCGCAACGAGCGCAACCCCUACGUUUAGUUGCUAACGCGUGAAGGCGAGCACUCUAGACGAACUGCCGUUGACAAAACGGAGGAAGGUGGGAUGACGUCAAAUCAUCAUGCCCCUUAUGUUCUGGGCUACACACGUGCUACAAUGGCCGGUACAGACGGACGCAAAGCCGCGAGGUGGAGCAAAUCCUAAAAAGCCGGUCUCAGUUCGGAUUGCAGGCUGCAACUCGCCUGCAUGAAGUCGGAAUCGCUAGUAAUCGCAGGUCAGCAUACUGCGGUGAAUACGUUCCCGGGCCUU